UGAUAAAAAAAAUAUUACUUCUGACAUUCAGAUUGGAUGGAUUUUCUAUACGAUGUAAAGCCAAACAAUCCGGUCAUAGUACAAAGUCAGUACGUAUUUGGAUCAGUUUUGGUCUACAAUGAUAUCGAGGAGGAGUCAAGGAAGGAAAAAGGGACUACUCCAUCGCUGGGCAAGACACCGCCGCCUCGGCCUCGUAUUGCGCCUACCACCGCGCACUGGCUUGCCUCUGCC
rnacentral:lncRNA from 1 species